UACGUAGGGCGCAAGCGUUGUCCGGAAUUAUUGGGCGUAAAGAGCUCGUAGGCGGCUUGUCACGUCGGGUGUGAAAACCCGCGGCUCAACCGCGGGCCUGCAUUCGAUACGGGCAGGCUAGAGUUCGGUAGGGGAGACUGGAAUUCCUGGUGUAGCGGUGAAAUGCGCAGAUAUCAGGAGGAACACCGAUGGCGAAGGCAGGUCUCUGGGCCGAUACUGACGCUGAGGAGCGAAAGCGUGGGGAGCGAACAGG
rnacentral:rRNA from 1 species